rnacentral:rRNA from 1 species
GACAGAGGUGCCGAGCGUUAGGCGGAAUCACUGGGCUUAAAGCGUGUGUAGGUGGAUGCCUAAGUACCUUGUGAAAUCCCACGGCUUAACCGUGGAACUGCUUGGUAUACUGGGUGUCUUGAGCCAGCUAGGGGCUACCGGAACAAAUGGUGGAGCGGUGAAAUGCGUAGAUAUCAUUUGGAACGCCAAUGGUGAAAACAGGUAGCUGGGGCUGUGCUGACGCUGAGACACGAAAGCCAGGGGAGCAAACGGG